ensembl:lncRNA novel transcript
GCAACUGAACCAAUGCCAGGCACAAUCUACCUCUGGGCUUCUUAUUACAUGAAAAAGAUAAACUUUUGUUUGUUUUACCCAUUUUAAGUGAGGGUUUCUAUUAUUGCUGCUGUUUCUGCUGCUCCUUAAGCUACUGACCAACUCUGACACCUGUUCUCUGAAUGGCCUUUCUUAAUCUUGAAGAGUGGCAGGGAAACAGGUGAAUAUUUCUUCAAUGUCAACUCAAGCAAAAUUGGGAGCAAGUGAUACACACCCAUUUAAAAACCAAGCUGAGAAUGGAGUUUUACCUCUUCCCAAAAUAUCAAACAGAGGAAAUUAGAAAGGAGACUCUUCUGACAGAACUUACCCCUGAGAGUGAUGUCGAUGAGCUACAGGAGAAGCUGGCAGCUUUCCCCACAGAGUUGGACACACACAGGCUCAGGACUCAGAAGUGAAGAAAGAUUCCGUGGGGUUGGAAGAGCUGCAGGCCUGGAUGAAGUCCCCAGAAACAAGUGACCGUGGAAACAUCCUGCUGAGAUGGAGAAACUGUGACUCGCUCUGUCUGCAUCCCUGAGCUUUCACCUGGAAAAGGCACUGACCUUGUGUGUCGAAGUCUGCAGACUUUCAUUUUGGAGAUAUAUUUCACUCUGAAUAGUGAAUCAGAGUGGGGUGAAACAUCUGGCUUAUAAAAUGUUUCAAACCUCAAACCACUUUAGAUACUUGGAAAUCAUCUUCUCCACACAUUUAUUAUAAAACAGGAAGAGACCCAGAAAAAAUGCCACUCUGUUUUGAAGAUGGAAAGUAAGUGUCAUUGAUGUAAAAUUCUUGGAUUUCUUUUGUGUAGUUGUAGACUGUGAUUGCCAGUAUAUGGUCCACAAAGUUGUUGGUCAUUUUGUAAAUUUAAAAUUUGCCAGUUAGGCCUAAAAAUCAUCUCCCACAUGUGAUGGCAAGCCUAGAGGUGGUCGGCCCAUGCUUGCCCCUUUUGUCUCUCUGCUCAGCCAGCUUAGUCUGUGCUGUCCACCCCCAUGCUGAUCACCAAAUGGUCACUCUGUGGUGCUCCAGUUCCACCUCUCAGCUGUGUUCCAGGCAGGAAGAAAGACAAGAGCAAAACUGCAUUCAGUAGAGCAUGCCCACUUUGAGAGAGAGCUCGUGCAGAAGCUGGCCAGGGCAGCAUCUUGCCUCUUCUUUACAUUAGAUCACUGGCUCCCAGCAGCAGCACCAGCUACAGAGCCUCUUGCUCCCUUCCUUCCUUGUUCUCCUCUGUCUCUAUGUGUAUGUGUGUGCAUACAUAUUUAUAGACACACACACAUACACACAAAAUACUAUAUUAUGUCAUAUAGUUUUCUGAAUGUGUUGGUACCCUGAAUGAUAUAUGUUGGUAGGAAAAGAGGAAAGUGUAGACAUUUAUGGGCAGCCGACUUUACCAGUUGGGCCUAGACUACCUAAAGAUUAUCAGUACAAUUUAUGCUCCAAGAAAGUAGUGUGCAUAUCUUCGUUACUGUAGUUCAAACACCUAGGAGAAUACCUGGCUUAUAGUUGGUACUAAGGACAUAUUUUCGAAGAAAGAAAGAGUCAGGGAAUGCAUACUUGUUUUAGGAAAGAGUGCUUUCAGCUUCUAACAAAGCCUAAUUCCCUUUUCCUUCAUUGUUCCUCUAUUUCUUCGAACCAAACAUAUUGUAUUGAUCGACGAUGGAUGGUGACUAUGAGUUUCUGCUUUCACUGGAGGUGGGGUGGGAGGUACACAUCCAAACAUGCUUAGCCUCCCUGGGUGGGUGGAUCUGCGGAUGAAUGUUUCCAUAUCAAAAUCUGAACUGACUACUUUCCCUUUGUAGUUUAAAUUAUUUCAACCACAGAGAGGAGCUGAAUAUUAAGUUAACUGUGUUCAUCUGCCAGAAAAAUUAAAUAUCAGUGUAGAAAAUAAUCUUAGCGUUCACUUAAACUGCCUUAACAGUUUUAAAAAGGCACUUAAAUGUAGCAAUCAUAUGUUUUGGUUUACCUGGAAGUUUCUGUUUGUUGCUUUUGAAGUAGCUUAAUUAUUCCUGUCUGAAGAGUCCUGGUUGGUGUGGUAUUCAAUGCUCAUGCUACUCCAAGAGGGCCUGCUGAUAUUUACAGAGUCACAAAAGUCACCCAUGAUCUUUGACACUUGGUUUAAUGAUCUUCCCUCUAUAUUGUACUGGCAGUCUGCGUGCUUCCCUAAAUGACUGUGCAUGAAAAUCAUAUUCAAUUUUUUUUAUUUUAAUUGCUUGGGGGACACUUCCAUAAAAAUCUGGCUCAGUGUCUGGCUGGGGCAUUUCCAGCAAGAACCCUGAGUGAUUCUGGUGCAGGUGAUACUGAGAUCACAAACUGAAUAACACUAAAAUAAAUGAAACGGGGCUUAAAUUUUACAGCUCAUGGAAGAGCUCAUGAAAAUUCUUAACAAGUAGAAACCUAGAUGAAAAUUUACUGCAUGAAGCUAAAGACAAGUGUUUUCCUGAUUAAAAAAUCAAAAGCACAACAUUUAAGUAAGAAGUAUCCUGCUAAUUCUCACCAUGAUAGUGCACAUGCCUAAUCUACUACAUUGAAACAUACAUUUUAUAAACUCUAUGCCACUUGCAUGGAUAAUUGAUGUAAUCGAAUUGCACUGGAAUUGGAAUUUUCACUGCAGAAUACCAGCUGUGGCUGCUGUCCAGGGGAGAACCCUGCUCCAAGUGCUCAACAUUGGCUGCUGUAGUUCAUGGAAUAUUUAAUUGUCUGCUGAAAAAUGAAUUGCAAUUAGCAUUAACCAGCUUUUAAAUAUUUGCUUGCAUUACAGUUUUUCCUUUUUAUUUUGAUGAAAAAGAAAAAAAAUUAGAAUGCUAAAGAAUACAGAAGGCUUGGUUUAUUUGAGAGUAAUACAGACAUGUUGUCCAGAACCAUGCUAGUUGCUUUAUUUUCUCUAAUUUUUCAGACUAAUGCCAUGGGAGAUACCCUCUCCAUUAUAUUAAAUAGAAAACUGAAACUCAGGCAGAUAAAAUAAUAAAUCCAAGUCCCCAUUGAAAGUAAGAAUUGAAAACCAAGACUAUCUAUGGCAAAAUGUGAUCUUCUCAACACUUACAGUGUCUUUAUAUCUUUGACUUCUCUUUUUCUGUCUCUCUUUAUAGAUUUAUAACCUAUUUCUCCAUCCAUCCAUCCAUCCAUCCAUCCAUCCAUCCAUCCAUCCAUCCAUCCAUUUAUCCAUCCAUCCAUCCAUCCAUCCAUCCAUCCAUCCAUCCAUCCAUUUAUCCAUCCAUCCAUUUUUCCAUCCAUCCAUCCAUCCAUCCAUCUAUCCAUCCAUCCACCCAUACAUCCAUCCAUCCAUCCAUCCAACUAUCCAUCCAUCCCAUUGCAUGUUGUUUCCUAUCUACAUUCCUAACUCUGCCUAUCAUACAAUUAUUUGGCAUUAUCCUUUAAUUGGCAAUAGGGUUGCCAGCAGGUGUCCUGAAAUUUUCCUAUGCCAAAAGUUCUAUUCUGUAAAGAGUAAUAGACUUUUAAGGUGAGAAGGUUAUUUUGAAGACUGAUAAAUAUCUUUUCUGUUGUAUGUGAGGAAAUUUAGGCCCAGGGAAAUUAAGCAACUUAUUUACACUGGCAUAUUAAGUUAUUGGCAGAGAUUAAAUAUAAUUAAGUCUUUUGACUCAUAAUUUAUUUUUCCACCUGGAACUUUAGGUUAAAGGCUACUAGUUAAAUAUUGAAUAAGCUCAAAUAUAACAUUUCCAGGUAACCAAAAAAGGGAGAAAAAAUCUAUUCAUAGAGUCGAUUUGUUUUAUAAGUUAAUGCAAGGAUUUUAAAAAUCACAUGGACUUACAAAUUCCAGGAUAAAUACCUUCCUUUCUAGAGACUGACACUGCUGUGUAGAACACAAGGCAGCAUUUCUGAAUGAAAUUGGCCUAUUUAUAAGGUUUGCCUCCAGUAGAUUCUGCUAAACCUAUGGUGUCAGCCAGAUGCAGUGACUCAUGCCUAUAAUCCCAGUACUUCAGGAGGCCGAGGAGGGAGGAUCACUUGAACCCAGGAGUUGAAGAUCAGCCUGGACAACAUAAAGACACUUCUCUACAAAAUAACAAUAAAAAUAAUAAUUUUAAAAGUAAGUAAAAUAAAACCAUGGUUUCUCUAGUGUUAGAUUUGGAUAAACCAACCCAAAUAAUAUCUAGCAGUUCUUAGAGCUGUAACAAUAGACUAACCAUUGGUGUAUCAUAGACCAUUCUUAAAAUUUUCAAAUGUCAGUACUGAAUGGCAUGGAACAGGAAUAAUAUUUAUCAGAGUAUCUACUAGUGCCAGUCAACAUGAAAAUGCUUACAUGUAAUAUUAAUGCCAAUCCUUACAACCAUUUUCUAAUUAAACAGAUAUCUUAGUAAUUAUAGAAAUAUUUUGUUACUUAUUUUAAAUUAGUGUUGUCAUUUUACCAAUUUUUAAACUAAGAUUAAGAAGUGUUAACUUCCUUAAGCUCACAUAAAGAGGAUUACAUGAAAUACAUUACCUGAAGAAAAAUGUAUUUCAUUCUUGUAUGAAUCACAAUAUAGUAGAAUAUGGUAGAAAACAUACUUAUCACACAAAACAGCAUGUUUGAAAAAAAUAAAUGUAAUGGUUCAGGUUGCAGUUAAUAAUUGACUUAGACUAGUUUCACAGAUAGUAAAAUAGUUACGUUAACAAUUUUAAAAGGAUGGGUAUGUUUUUGUUUCUUCCAGAAAAUACUUCUCUGUGAUUAAAAUAUUCAACUAUAUUCAAAAUUCAAAUAUUUACCAAACUUCUAAAAUAUCCCACUGUGUUUAGCAAUAUAAUAACUGCUGUGGGUUUUAAAAAAGAAUCAUGACUUAGGACUUUAAUUAAGUUUGAAAAAUCAGUGGAAUCAUCCAUACUAAUUUUUUUUACUCUUAAAAACUUUCAGAAAACUGACUUUAUAUCACCAUAUUUUAAACAACAUCUUUUAGUGAAAGCAUGUCUCAUUCAGUGAUCUAAAGCAAAGUGCAUAUAGAUGAGGUGUGGAGGCAGAUUGCCUGGGUUCAGAUCCCAGUUCCGCCACUAUUAGUACCUACCUUUGGGGUUUGUUGACAUUAAGUGAGUUUAAUCAUGAAAAGCACUUAACAUUUUGCAUAAGAAAUUGGCUAGCGUGUAAAUAUGAAACAAGUAGUAGUAAUUAUUAGUCAACAAAAACUUUAUAAUUGCAAGUUCUGAGGACUUUUUUUGGUGGAAAAGGGAGAUUUUAAUAAGUAAGGAUGGUAAGGAAAAUGUCCCAUUUAUUCUUGUGGUAAUGUGUAAUCUUUUCCUAAUUAAAAUGAGUGUUUAUCAUCAGACACCAACUUGACAGACAAACCACAGAGUAACAGGAAAACAGCUGAGUGAUGUAGGAAAGUUAACUUGCCCCUCUGCCUGGAAACAAAUACAACAUUGGACAUCAGAGAGUGCCAGAGAGACCAUCUUCCCAUCUCAGGAUAGGCACCUAACCCAAGAAAUAGUUUACUAUUCUAGACAGAGAAUCUAUCACCUCCCCCGACAACUUACUCCAACAUUUAAUCCCCUGACUGUGGGAGUCAAAAAUUCAAUUUAGAAACAAAAAUUUAAUUUAACUCUAGAAAGAGAAUUUCACAUUUUUGCCUGAAACGCUUAGCAAUUGUGAGAUCAAUGUUUUAUGAAGGCAGGAUUGUAAUUUAUAAUUUCAUAAUUAUAAUUUAUAAUUUCAACAAAGUAGGAUUAAAGUAGGGUGGUAUUAUCAAUAUUUAACGUAGUUUUUAAAAAUUUACCACACUUAUCAC